CAGGGAGGACAUCUUGGUGGCUGGGGCAGGGACAGGAGGGAGACUUUCCCAGCCUGUGUGAGCUAAUAGUGGCAAGUAUUUGGGAAAAAAGAAGGGUCUAGACAGAGAAGAUGGUGGAUCAGAGAAGAGCAUGGAGCAUGAGAGGGUGGACCUGAUGAGGUGGGAAGCCAGGCGUGCCCCACUGCCGGAGCAGGACUGCAAGGGGCUGCUGCAGACAACACAUGGAAAGCCACUGCCUCUGAGCCUUUGCAUUUGCAGUUCCCUCUGUGUGGAACAGCCUUCUCCCCAGACAUCCUUGUUCCUGCCUUCCUGUUUCACCCAGGUGGAACCUUCUGAGGGUUCUGAGAAAAUAGAAGAAAAACUGCCAGAAGGAAGAGAAGCUUGACUUCUGUGUGGUUCAGUCUGCAUAAUUGAAUUGCCACAUUGUGUCUGGGAGUAGGAUAAGAACUACUUAACAAUAUACAUACUGAUCCAUUGUGGAAUUAUUAAGGAAAAUACAUUGAAAUAGGUGGCAUUCUUGUCAAAGAUAUAUAUGGACGGCUAGAUGGAUAGAUAGGUGAAAAUCAUGUUCCAUGGAAGAAGAGUUAGCUCAGCCUGCAACUCAAACAAGUACAGAUAUUCUUCCAUGGAAUGACCAUCAUACUUGGAUUGUAAUAAAAAUGCUUUAGGCAAACUUCUCAUUUCAUCCUUGGCAUAUUAAAAAUAUGUAUGUAUGUUUAAGGCUUGAAACUUAACACUGUAUUUUAAUGUUUCAGUAAGGUAAUUCUUCUUAAAUAAAAUUGGCAUUUUUAAAAAAGCCCUCUCUCACCACUCCUAUUCAACAUAGUGUUGGAAGUUCUGGCCAGGGCAAUUAGGCAGGAGAAAGAAAUAAAGGGUAUUCAAU
rnacentral:lncRNA from 10 species